CCGAGUUCUCGAGCUUCGGCUCGACUCUCCCACCCUUUGUGAACACACCUCUGUUGCCUCGGCGGCCGCUCCGGCCGCCGAAGGACCUUCAAACUCCAGUCAGUAAACGCAGACGUCUGAUAAACAAGUCAAUAAACUA
rnacentral:misc_RNA from 1 species